rnacentral:tRNA from 1 species
GCCUGGGUGGCUCAGCCGGUUGAGCGUCUGACUUCGGCUCAGGUCAUGAUCUCGAGGUCCGUGAGUUUGAGCCCCGCGUCGGGCU